AUUGCGGUAUAUAUACUCUCAUGACUCCGCCAACUUUUCAUCUCACAUUGAUUUCUUAUUCAUGUUUGAGCUACAGGAUCACACAUUCGUUAAUUCAAUAGAGAGAGUUAGACUAAUAAGCCUGUUGACUUAUUGCAAGUGGGAUCAGCUGAUCAUCACAUCCACUAUUACGAUUUAAGAAACAUAAACCAACCACUUCACGUCUUCAGUGGACACAAGAAAGCGGUUUCGUAUGUGAAUUUUUGUCCAACGACGAGCUCGCUUCAGCUUCUACAGAUAGCACACUACGCUUAUGGGACGUCAAGGACAACUUGCCAGUUCGGACAUUUAGAGGACACACUAACGAGAAGAACUUUGUGGGUCUAACAGUGAAUAGCGAGUAUCUCGCAUGCGGAAGCGAGACAAACGAAGUAUAUGUAUAUCACAAGGAGAUCACGAGACCUGUGACAUCGCACAGAUUUGGAACACCAGACAUGGACGAUGCAGAGGAGGAAGCUGGUUCUUACUUUAUAAGUGCUGUUUGCUGGAAGAGUGAUAGUACCACGAUGUUGACUGCUAAUAGCCAAGGAACCAUCAAAGUUCUGGUACUCGGUGCUUGAUUGUAAAUAAAUAUUUUCAAAAGAUUUCUAAACCUUCUUGAAUCAAAAAAAUUCACCAUUUAGUUUAGUUGUAGUUUAAUAGCAAGUUAUAGAGAGAUUAAUUUAUCCAAAUCAGGGUUCUUCAUUUGUGAAGCUUGUUUGUAUUAUACGGGUUCCUUAAUCUAGUUUAUGGGUAUAAUCAAAAUGUUGUGACAGAUGAUAU